rnacentral:miRNA from 10 species
CAGUUAAAUAAGAAUUUCAGAUAAACAUCAAAUUUUUUUUCAGUGUAAAUAUGUUUCAUGCAAUAUUUGGGACAUACUUAUACUGAAAAUGAUUCACUGUUU